rnacentral:rRNA from 1 species
CCUACGGGAGGCUGCAGUGGGGAAUAUUGCACAAUGGGGGAAACCCUGAUGCAGCGACGCCGCGUGAGGGAGGAAGGAUUUCGGUAGGUAAAGCUCUAUCAGCAGGGAAGAAAAUGACGGUACCUGACUAAGAAGCCCCGGCUAACUCCGUGCCAGCAGCCGCGGUAAUACGUAGGGGGCAAGCGUUAUCCGGAUUUACUGGGUGUAAAGGGAGCGUAGCCGGCUAAGCAAGUCAGAUGUGAAAACCCCGGGCUCAACCCUGGGACUGCUUUUGAAACUGCGUAGCUGGAGUGCAGGAGAGGUAAGCGGAAUUCCUAGUGUAGCGGUGAAAUGCUUAGAUAUUAGGCGGAACACCAGUUGCGAAGGCGGCUUACUGGACUGUAACUGACGUUGAGGCUCGAAAGCGUGGGGAGCAAACAGGAUUAGAUACCCUAGUAGUC